rnacentral:rRNA from 1 species
CUUAAUACAUGCAAGUCGAGCGAGAACCAGGGCUUCGGCUCUGGGGACAGCGGCGAACGGGUGAGUAACACGUGGGUAAUCAACCCCCGACACCGGGAUAGCCCAGGGAAACUUGGAUUAAUACCGGAUGCUCCGUCUGGCUUUAGGGCCGGCCGGAAAAGGGUAGCUUCGGCCUCCGGUCGGGGACGAGCCCGCGGCGGAUUAGCUUGUUGGUGAGGUAAAGGCUCACCAAGGCGACAAUCCGUAGCUGGUCUGAGAGGACGAUCAGCCACACUGGGACUGAGACACGGCCCAGACUCCUACGGGAGGCAGCAGUAGGGAAUCUUGCGCAAUGGGCGAAAGCCUGACGCAGCGACGCCGCGUGAGGGAAGAAGGCCUUCGGGUUGUAAACCUCUUUCAGGAGGGACGAAGCCACUCGGGUUAAUAGCCUAGAGGGUGACGGUACCUCCAGAAGAAGCCCCGGCUAACUACGUGCCAGCAGCCGCGGUAAUACGUAGGGGGCAAGCGUUGUCCGGAUUUAUUGGGCGUAAAGAGCGUGUAGGCGGCCAAGCAGGUCCGCUGUGAAAACUCGAGGCUCAACCUCGAGAGGUCGGUGGAAACCGUUUGGCUAGAGUCCGGAAGAGGAGAGUGGAAUUCCCGGUGUAGCGGUGAAAUGCGCAGAUAUCGGGAAGAACACCCGUGGCGAAGGCGGCUCUCUGGGACGGUACUGACGCUGAGACGCGAAAGCGUGGGGAGCGAACAGGAUUAGAUACCCUGGUAGUCCACGCCGU